CCGAUUCUAUGAUACACUUCCACUAAUAUAAAAUAAAGAAGUGAUGAGGAAAGGGGUGAAAGACCCCUACAGCCCCCGCUACUGUAAUUGCCAACGCGGUUCGUGAACCACUGUCUUAAGGAUGGGAAGGGAGAACCAAGGAUGAAGCAAGAGUCAGGACACUCAUAAUCAUUGAAAUUCU
rnacentral:ncRNA from 1 species